UAUUAAGUUUGAUUUUGGUUUUUGAUGUAUUAAGAUAUUAUUACUUAUUUUUAGUUUAUUUAGUGUGUAAUUUUUUGUUCACUGGUAGUUUUUUGAUUGUCUUAUAAGUGUUCCAGAAUAAUCGGCUAUACAUUUUAAUUUUUAACUCUAUUUGUUGUGGUGCUUUUUUUUUGUUGUAUUUUUUAUUUCAUUUUUUGUAAAAUAUUUUGGUUUUUUUUUUUUGAAAAAGUGCUUAAAAUUUGGUUUUUGAACUGGAUUAGUACCCAGGUAAACAAAAUUUAUUAAUUCGGGAGUAAAGUUUUUUUUAAACCGAAAAAAUAUUGACUGACUUCGGAUUUUUCUUUGGAACAUGUGUUUUUUGGAGAGUCCUCCCUUGUUGCUGGUUUUGUUGGCUCAUGUAUGAUUGUUUAGCUUUUAUUUUUUUUGUAAUGCUAUUUUUUGUUUUUAUUUAAAACAGAUAUAUAUUUGGUUUAUGAAUCAGUUAUCAUGUGUUACUAUUAUUAAUUUUUUUCGGAUUUAAUUUUUAUUUUUUUUUGAAGUUGGAAAAGAAAGUAAUUUUUUUUUUAUGUAUUAAUGAAUUUAAUAAACGGAGUGGUACAAACCAUCCGUCAAUGGCCUAAGGGGGCGUAAGUUGUAGUAUGGUAGAGGUAAGGAAACUUGUUUCUAUUUUUU
rnacentral:ncRNA from 1 species